GCCAGCAGCCAUAUCACCCUACAGCUCACAACUGGCAACCCACUGAAGCUAAGCAGGUGUGAGCCUGGUCAGUACCUGAAUGGGAGACCUCCUGGGAAAAACUAAGGUUGCUGCUGGAA
ensembl:rRNA 5S_rRNA 5S ribosomal RNA